rnacentral:misc_RNA from 1 species
GAUGAAGAACGUAGCGAAAUGCGAUAAGUAAUGUGAAUUGCAGAAUUCAGUGAAUCAUCGAAUCUUUGAACGCACCUUGCGCCCUUUGGCCAUUCCGAAGGGCAUGCCUGUUUGAGUAUCAUGAACACCUCAACUCUUCAUGGUUUUCCAUGAUGAGCUUGGACUUUGGGGGUCUUGCUGGCCUGUGGGUCGGCUCCUCUCAAAUGAAUCAGCUUGCCGGUUUUUGGUGGGCAUCACAGGUGUGAUAACUAUCUACGCUUGUGGUUUUCCACCAGGGUAACCUUCAGCAGUGGAGGUUCACUGGGGCUUACAAAUGUCUCUCCUCUGUGAGGACAGCCCUUUGAAUGUUUGAUCUCAAAUCAGGUAGGACUACCCGCUGAACUUAAGCAUAUCAAUAAGCGGAGGA